UACGGGGGGGGCAAGCGUUGUCCGGAAUUACUGGGCGUAAAGGGCUCGUAGGUGGCCAACUAAGUCAGACGUGAAAUCCCUCGGCUUAACCGGGGAACUGCGUCUGAUACUGGAUGGCUUGAGUUCGGGAGAGGGAUGCGGAAUUCCAGGUGUAGCGGUGAAAUGCGUAGAUAUCUGGAGGAACACCGGUGGCGAAGGCGGCAUCCUGGACCGACACUGACGCUGAGUGAGCGAAAGCCAGGGGAGCAAACGGG
rnacentral:rRNA from 1 species